CAGCAAUCUGGGGGCUGUAACCCAGGGGCGGUAGCUAU
rnacentral:ncRNA from 1 species